CCCGGUUGAUCCUGCUAGUAGUCAUAUGCUUGUCUCAAAAAUUAGGCUAUGUAUGUGUAAGUUUGAAAAAAUUCAGACUGUGAAACUUUGAAUGGCUCAUUAAAUCAGUUAUAGUUUGUUUGAUGGUAUUUGGUACUCAGAUAACCAUAGUAAUUCUAGAGCUAAUACGUGCAACAAACCUCGACUUUUAGAAGGGAUGCAUUUAUUAGAUAAAAGGUCGACGCAGGCUUCGCCCGUUGCUUUGAUCAACCAUGAUAACUCAAUAGAUCGCACGGCCUUUAUGCCGGCGACGCAUCAUUCAAAUUUCUGCCCUAUCAACUUUCAAUGGUAGGAUAGUGGCCUACUAUGGUAGUGAUAGGUGACAGAGAAUUAGGGUUUGAUUCCAGAGAGGGAGCUUGAAAAAUGGCUACCACAUCCAAGAAAGGUAGUAGGCACGAAAAUUACCCAAUCCUGACAUGGGGAGGAAGUGACAAAAAUAACAAUACCAGGCUCUAUGAAUCUGGUAAUUAAAAUGAGUACAAUCUAAAUCCCUUAACGAGGAUCCACUGGAGGGCAAGUGUGGUGCCAGCAAUCGCGGUAAUUCUAGCUCCAAUAGCGUAUACUUAAUUUGUUGCAUUUAGAAAGCUCGUAGUUGGACUUAGAAGUAAGCUCGUAGUUGGACUUAGAAGUGGGUCGAUCGAUCCACCUUAUGGUGAGCACCAGUCUGCUCGUCCCUACUGCCAACGAUGCGCUUCUGGCCUUAAUUGGCCGGGUCGUUCCUCCGACGCUGCUACUUUUAAGAAAUUAAAGUUCUUAAAGUAGGCCUAUGCUUGUAUACAUUACCCUGGGAUAACAUCAUAGGAUUUUGAUCCUAUUGUAUUGGCCUUUGGAAUGGAGUAAUGAUUAACAAGGACAGUCAGGGGCAUUCGUAUUUCACAGUCAAAGGUGGAAUUCUUGGAUUUAUGAAAGACAAACAACUGCGAAAUCAUUUUCCAAGGAUAUUUUCAUUAAUCAAGAAUAAAAUUUGGGGGCUCGAAGAUGAUUAGAUACCGUCCUAGUCUCAAAAAUAAAUGUUGCUGACUAGGGAUCAGCGGAUGUUACUUUUAAGACUCCGCCGGCACCUUAUGAGAAAUCAAAGUCUUUAGGUUCCGGGUGAGUAUGGUCGUAAGGCUGAAAUUUAAAGGAAUUGAUGGAAGGGCACCACCAGAAGUGGAGCUUGCAGCUUAAUUUGACUCAACACGGGGAAACUUACCAGGUCUAGACAUAGUAAGGAUUGACAGACUAAGAGCUCUUUCUUGAUUCUAUGGGUGGUGGUGCAUGGCCGUUCUUAGUUGGUUGAGUAAUUUGUCUAGUUAAUUCCUUUAACGAAUGAGACCUCAGCCUGUUAACUAGCUACACGGAGGUGAUCCCCCAUGGCUAGCUUCUUAGAGGCACUAUGGCCUUUUAGGCAAAAGAAGUUUGAGGCAAUAACAGAUCUAUGUUGCCCUUAGAAGUUCUGGGAUGCACACACGCUACACUGAUGUAUUCAACGAGUCUAUAGCCUUGGCUGACAGGCCUGAGUAAUCUUUGAAACUUUAUCAUGAUGGGGAUAGAUCAUUGCAAUUGUUGGUCUUCAACUAGGAAUUCUUAGUUAGCGCAAGUCAUUAGCUCGUGCUGACUAUGUUCUUACCCUUUAUACACACCACUCGUCACUCCUACCGAUUGAAUGGUCCGGUGAAGUGUUCGGAUCACGGCAACGUUGGCGGUUCGCUGCCCGCAACGUCAUAAGAAGUCCACUGAACCUUAUCAUUUAGAGGAAGGAGAAGUCGUUACAAGGUUUCCGUAGGUGAACCUAUAGAAG
rnacentral:rRNA from 1 species